UUGCUAUAUUAUGAUGGUAAAAAGUUUGAAUCCUGGGGUACUUUGGUCACAUUUAUGGGGUUAAGUUCCUUGAAAUACAUUUAUGGACUUGGAGAGCUUUUUAUCAUAAUUUGAAAUAUAGUCUGUUUGAAUAAUUUGAGAAAUGAUAUUGUCCUUUCUCUACAUCUUCUUGGGCUGAGGGGAGCUUACCAGCCGGUCAUUUUUAUAUGGUUAUGGACAUCCUGAGUGAGAAAUGGCUUUGAUUUUUCGUUUUGUAUAUAUGCACUUUGAAUGUAAAGAACAGUGUUUCAAGUAAUGUUUUUAAGCAUGCUGUUUUAAUAAAAAGUUUCUUUUGUUUAGUGAAAGCAUAUACUUGUCCAUCUGCUUCCCUUUUAUUUUUAUAGCCAUGUUUCAUUACUUGUGAUAGUUUGAAUAUUGUGGUUUUCUUUGUUGUUGUUGUUCUUCUGAAUUUAUUGGAUGAUAAGGGCUAUAUGUACUGGGACUAGACGUGGGAAAAGUACUAAAAUCGGAUUUUCGUUGGUAAACUGUAGUUAG
rnacentral:lncRNA from 1 species